rnacentral:rRNA from 1 species
UAGGUGAUCUCAAUUCAACAUCGAGGUGAUAAACCUUGUCUUCGAUAAGGACUCUUUGACAAGAUUAUCCUGUUAUCCCUAAAGUAGCUUUUAUUUUUUGAUCGUUAGAUUAUUUUUAGACAUUUUAACGGGUCAUUAUAACCUACUUUGUAACUGUUAAAUAAAUAUAUUAAACAGUAAAUUUUUUAUUAAUGUAGUUAAUCUCUGUUUUUUUUUAGAGACCAUCUCCCCAAUGAAACUACCAUCCCUUUUAUUUUUUUUUAUUUUUUAUUAAUUUAUUAAUUUUUUUUAUUAUUAGAUUAAAAGAGUUAUAGUUAAGCUUUAUAGGGUCUUUUCGUCUUACAGUUUUAAAUAGAAUCUUAACUAUUAUUUUAAUUUUUUUAUUAUUUUAUAAGACAGUGAGAUUUUCGUUUAGCCAUUCAUACUAUCCACUAAUUAAGUGGCGAGCAAUUACGCUACAUUCAUACAGUCAUAGUUACUGCAGCCAUUCAACUUUUUUUUAUUUAACUUAUUUGUUUAAAUCUAAUUAGAGUCAUUGGGC